rnacentral:rRNA from 1 species
CCUGGCGGCAAUAGAACACUGGAACCACCCGAUCCCAUACCGAACUCGGAAGUUAAACGGUGUAUCGCCGAUGGUAGUGUGGGGUUUCCCCAUGUGAGAGUAGGUCACUGCCAGGU